CGUACCGAAAGGUGCGCUAAUACCGGAUAAUACUGAAUGACUACUGUUAUUUAGUCAAAGAAGGCUUCUGUUUACAUGCUUUUGCUGAAGGAUGAGUCCGCGUACCAUUAGCUAGUUGGUAGGGUAAUGGCCUACCAAGGCGACGAUGGUUAGCUGGUCUGAGAGGAUGAUCAGCCACACUGGAACUGAGACACGGUCCAGACUCCUACGGGAGGCAGCAGUGAGGAAUAUUGCGCAAUGGGGGAAACCCUGACGCAGCAACGCCGCGUGAGUGAGGAAGGUUUUCGGACCGUAAAGCUCUGUCGAGCGGGAAGAAAUGCAUGGUGGCUAAUAUCCAUCAUGCUUGACGGUACCGCUAAAGGAAGCACCGGCUAACUCCGUGCCAGCAGCCGCGGUAAUACGGGGGGUGCGAGGUUGUUCGGAAUUAUUGGGCGUAAAGAGCGUGUAGGCGGCUGAAUAAGUCAGAUGUGAAAUCCCUGGGCUUAACCCAGGACGUGCAUUUGAAACUAUUCGGCUAGAGUAGGGGAGAGGAAAGUGGAAUUCCUGGUGUAGAGGUGAAAUUCGUAGAUAUCAGGAGGAACACCGGUGGCGAAGGCGACUUUCUGGCCCUAUACUGACGCUGAGACGCGAGAGCGUGGGUAGCAAACAGGAUUAGAUACCCUGGUAGUCCUAACCUUAAACGGUGUACACUUGGUGUGCGAGGAAUUGUCCCUUUGCGCGCCGCAGCUAACGCGAUAAGUGUACCGCCUGGGGAGUACGGUCGCAAGAUUAAAACUCAAAGGAAUUGACGGGGACCCGCACAAGCGGUGGAGCAUGUGGCUUAAUUCGAUG
rnacentral:rRNA from 1 species